GGUAAUUUGGGAGGUCCAGCGCAGCCUACCGGAUCAGUCGCUGGGUCAUCGUCUCCUUCGAUAGCCAUGCGCCCUGCGGGGCAGGGUACGUCGACAUCAGCAAGCCGCGGCAGAGGUCGUGGCGGGGCUCCCAGUUCAAGCGGUCCUUCGAACCGCAUCUAUGCCUUGACUAGUCGACAGGACCCGGAGGCGCUACCAAACGCGGAUACAGAUUCGGAGUGAAACGGGAUUUGAGUUUUGGCGAACGUAAGACGCAUAUAAGGUACCGACGACAGGUUUGCUGAGCCGUCCGCUUAGGAUCUUAUUCUCCUAUUUUGGAGCGCUCUCUUAUCCAGAGCCCAUCUUUUGGUAUAGUCUGUCACUACUGUAUAUAUAUAUAUUCUCGUUCAUGGGUAUGGCGGGGCCCUGUCCCGUCAUAUGAUUCUGUCGGUCUGUUUAGAGGUCUGUGGACAUGUUUGUGGGUUAGGGUCUUUCUG